AANGAAGUCUGUUCGACUUUUAAAAAGUUACAUGAUUUGAGUUCAGACCGGNGUAAGCCAGGUCAGUUUCAAUCUUCUUUACUAUAAUAUACAGUACGAAAGGACCUAUAAUAAUAAUAUAAUUAUUUAUUUAGCAAAUAAUGCAUUAGAAUUAGAAUCUAAUCAAACUUUAUUACAAUUAUAUUAUUUACAAUAAAUUAU
rnacentral:rRNA from 1 species